GAUGAACGCUGGCGGCGUGCCUAAUACAUGCAAGUCGAGCGAACGGACGAGAAGCUUGCUUCUCUGAUGUUAGCGGCGGACGGGUGAGUAACACGUGGAUAACCUACCUAUAAGACUGGGAUAACUUCGGGAAACCGGAGCUAAUACCGGAUAAUAUUUUGAACCGCAUGGUUCAAAAGUGAAAGACGGUCUUGCUGUCACCUAUAGAUGGAUCCGCGCUGCAUUAGCUAGUUGGUAAGGUAACGGCUUACCAAGGCAACGAUGCAUAGCCGACCUGAGAGGGUGAUCGGCCACACUGGAACUGAGACACGGUCCAGACUCCUACGGGAGGCAGCAGUAGGGAAUCUUCCGCAAUGGGCGAAAGCCUGACGGAGCAACGCCGCGUGAGUGAUGAAGGUCUUCGGAUCGUAAAACUCUGUUAUUAGGGAAGAACAUAUGUGUAAGUAACUGUGCACAUCUUGACGGUACCUAAUCAGAAAGCCACGGCUAACUACGUGCCAGCAGCCGCGGUAAUACGUAGGUGGCAAGCGUUAUCCGGAAUUAUUGGGCGUAAAGCGCGCGUAGGCGGUUUUUUAAGUCUGAUGUGAAAGCCCACGGCUCAACCGUGGAGGGUCAUUGGAAACUGGAAAACUUGAGUGCAGAAGAGGAAAGUGGAAUUCCAUGUGUAGCGGUGAAAUGCGCAGAGAUAUGGAGGAACACCAGUGGCGAAGGCGACUUUCUGGUCUGUAACUGACGCUGAUGUGCGAAAGCGUGGGGAUCAAACAGGAUUAGAUACCCUGGUAGUCCACGCCGUAAACGAUGUGUGCUAAGUGUUAGGGGGUUUCCGCCCCUUAGUGCUGCAGCUAACGCAUUAAGCACUCCGCCUGGGGAGUACGACCGCAAGGUUGAAACUCAAAGGAAUUGACGGGGACCCGCACAAGCGGUGGAGCAUGUGGUUUAAUUCGAAGCAACGCGAAGAACCUUACCAAAUCUUGACAUCCUUUGACAACUCUAGAGAUAGAGCCUUCCCCUUCGGGGGACAAAGUGACAGGUGGUGCAUGGUUGUCGUCAGCUCGUGUCGUGAGAUGUUGGGUUAAGUCCCGCAACGAGCGCAACCCUUAAGCUUAGUUGCCAUCAUUAAGUUGGGCACUCUAAGUUGACUGCCGGUGACAAACCGGAGGAAGGUGGGGAUGACGUCAAAUCAUCAUGCCCCUUAUGAUUUGGGCUACACACGUGCUACAAUGGACAAUACAAAGGGCAGCGAAACCGCGAGGUCGAGCAAAUCCCAUAAAGUUGUUCUCAGUUCGGAUUGUAGUCUGCAACUCGACUACAUGAAGCUGGAAUCGCUAGUAAUCGUAGAUCAGCAUGCUACGGUGAAUACGUUCCCGGGUCU
rnacentral:rRNA from 1 species